UUAACACAUGCAAGUCGAGGGGCAGCAUUUUAGUUUGCUUGCAAACUGAAGAUGGCGACCGGCGCACGGGUGAGUAACACGUAUCCAACCUGCCGAUAACUCCGGGAUAGCCUUUCGAAAGAAAGAUUAAUACCGGAUAGCAUACGAAUAUCGCAUGAUAUUUUUAUUAAAGAAUUUCGGUUAUCGAUGGGGAUGCGUUCCAUUAGUUUGUUGGCGGGGUAACGGCCCACCAAGACUACGAUGGAUAGGGGUUCUGAGAGGAAGGUCCCCCACAUUGGAACUGAGACACGGUCCAAACUCCUACGGGAGGCAGCAGUGAGGAAUAUUGGUCAAUGGGCGCGAGCCUGAACCAGCCAAGUAGCGUGAAGGAUGAAGGCUCUAUGGGUCGUAAACUUCUUUUAUAUGGGAAUAAAGUUUUCCACGUGUGGAAUUUUGUAUGUACCAUAUGAAUAAGGAUCGGCUAACUCCGUGCCAGCAGCCGCGGUAAUACGGAGGAUCCGAGCGUUAUCCGGAUUUAUUGGGUUUAAAGGGAGCGUAGGUGGAUUGUUAAGUCAGUUGUGAAAGUUUGCGGCUCAACCGUAAAAUUGCAGUUGAAACUGGCAGUCUUGAGUACAGUAGAGGUGGGCGGAAUUCGUGGUGUAGCGGUGAAAUGCUUAGAUAUCACGAAGAACUCCGAUUGCGAAGGCAGCUCACUAGACUGUCACUGACACUGAUGCUCGAAAGUGUGGGUAUCAAACAGGAUUAGAUACCCUGGUAGUCCACACAGUAAACGAUGAAUACUCGCUGUUUGCGAUAUACAGUAAGCGGCCAAGCGAAGGCAUUAAGUAUUCCACCUGGGGAGUACGCCGGCAACGGUGAAACUCAAAGGAAUUGACGGGGGCCCGCACAAGCGGAGGAACAUGUGGUUUAAUUCGAUGAUGCGCGAGGAACCUUACCCGGGCUUAAAUUGCAACAGAAUAUAUUGGAAACAGUAUAGCCGUAAGGCUGUUGUGAAGGUGCUGCAUGGUUGUCGUCAGCUCGUGCCGUGAGGUGUCGGCUUAAGUGCCAUAACGAGCGCAACCCUUAUCUUUAGUUACUAACAGGUCAUGCUGAGGACUCUAGAGAGACUGCCGUCGUAAGAUGUGAGGAAGGUGGGGAUGACGUCAAAUCAGCACGGCCCUUACGUCCGGGGCUACACACGUGUUACAAUGGGGGGUACAGAAGGCGGCUACCUGGUGACAGGAUGCUAAUCCCAAAAACCUCUCUCAGUUCGGAUCGAAGUCUGCAACCCGACUUCGUGAAGCUGGAUUCGCUAGUAAUCGCGCAUCAGCCAUGGCGCGGUGAAUACGUUCCCGGGCCUUGUACACACCGCCCGUCAAGCCAUGAAAGCCGGGGGUACCUGAAGUACGUAACCGCAAGGAGCGUCCUAGGGUAAAACUGGUAAUUGGGCUAAA
rnacentral:rRNA from 1 species